UGGGGAAUUUUCCGCAAUGGGCGAAAGCCUGACGGAGCAUAGCCGCGUGGAGGUGGAAGGCCUACGGGUCGUCAACUUCUUUUCUCGGGGAAGAAACAAUGACGGUAUCUGAGGAAUAAGCAUCGGCUAACUCUGUGCCAG
rnacentral:rRNA from 1 species